rnacentral:rRNA from 1 species
AACGACUCUCGACAACGGAUAUCUCGGCUCUCGCAUCGAUGAAGAACGUAGCGAAAUGCGAUACUUGGUGUGAAUUGCAGAAUCCCGUGAACCAUCGAGUCUUUGAACGCAAGUUGCGCCUGAAGCCACUAGGCCAAGGGCACGCCUGCCUGGGUGUCACGC